AGACCCGAAACCCGGUGAUCUAGCCAUGGGCAGGUUGAAGGUUGGGUAACACUAACUGGAGGACCGAACCGACUAAUGUUGAAAAAUUAGCGGAUGACUUGUGGCUGGGGGUGAAAGGCCAAUCAAACCGGGAGAUAGCUGGUUCUCCCCGAAAGCUAUUUAGGUAGCGCCUCGUGAAUUCAUCUCCGGGGGUAGAGCACUGUUUCGGCAAGGGGGUCAUCCCGACUUACCAACCCGAUGCAAACUGCGAAUACCGGAGAAUGUUAUCACGGGAGACACACGGCGGGUGCUAACGUCCGUCGUGAAGAGGGAAACAACCCAGACCGCCAGCUAAGGUCCCAAAGUCAUGGUUAAGUGGGAAACGAUGUGGGAAGGCCCAGACAGCCAGGAUGUUGGCUUAGAAGCAGCCAUCAUUUAAAGAAAGCGUAAUAGCUCACUGGUCGAGUCGGCCUGCGCGGAAGAUGUAACGGGGCUAAACCAUGCACCGAAGCUGCGGCAGCGACACUGUGUGUUGUUGGGUAGGGGAGCGUUCUGUAAGCCUGUGAAGGUGUGCUGUGA
rnacentral:rRNA from 1 species